UAAAGAGUAACGGAGGAGCACGAAGGUUGGCUAAUCCUGGUCGGACAUCAGGAGGUUAGUGCAAUGGCAUAAGCCAGCUUGACUGCGAGCGUGACGGCGCGAGCAGGUGCGAAAGCAGGUCAUAGUGAUCCGGUGGUUCUGAAUGGAAGGGCCAUCGCUCAACGGAUAAAAGGUACUCCGGGGAUAACAGGCUGAUACCGCCCAAGAGUUCAUAUCGACGGCGGUGUUUGGCACCUCGAUGUCGGCUCAUCACAUCCUGGGGCUGAAGUAGGUCCCAAGGGUAUGGCUGUUCGCCAUUUAAAGUGGUACGCGAGCUGGGUUUAGAACGUCGUGAGACAGUUCGGUCCCUAUCUGCCGUGGGCGCUGGAGAACUGAGGGGGGCUGCUCCUAGUACGAGAGGACCGGAGUGGACGCAUCACUGGUGUUCGGGUUGUCAUGCCAAUGGCACUGCCCGGUAGCUAAAUGCGGAAGAGAUAAGUGCUGAAAGCAUCUAAGCACGAAACUUGCCCCGAGAUGAGUUCUCCCUGACCCUUUAAGGGUCCUGAAGGAACGUUGAAGACGACGACGUUGAUAGGCCGGGUGUGUAAGCGCAGCGAUGCGUUGAGCUAACCGGUACUAAUGAACCGUGAGGCUUAACCUUACAACGCCGAAGAUGUUUUG
rnacentral:rRNA from 1 species